GAGUUUGAUCAUGGCUCAGGAUGAACGCUGGCGGCGUGCCUAGUACAUGCAAGUCGAGCGAACAGACGAGGAGCUUGCUCCUCUGACGUUAGCGGCGGACGGGUGAGUAACACGUGGAUAACCUACCUAUAAGACUGGGAUAACUUCGGGAAACCGGAGCUAAUACCGAAUAAUAUAUUGAACCGCAUGGUUCAAUAGUGAAAAACGGUUUUGCUGUCACUUAUAGAUGGAUCCGCGCCGCAUUAGCUAGUUGGUAGGGUAACGGCUUACCAAGGCGACGAUGCGUAGCCGACCUGAGAGGGUGAUCGGCCACACUGGAACUGAGACACGGUCCAGACUCCUACGGGAGGCAGCAGUAGGGAAUCUUCCGCAAUGGGCGAAAGCCUGACGGAGCAACGCCGCGUGAGUGAUGAAGGUCUUCGGAUCGUAAAACUCUGUUAUUAGGGAAGAACAAAUGUGUAAGUAACUAUGCACGUCUUGACGGUACUAAUCAGAAAGCCACGGCUAACUACGUGCCAG
rnacentral:rRNA from 1 species